GAUGAACGCUGGCGGCGUGCCUAAUACAUGCAAGUCGAGCGAACAGACGAGGAGCUUGCUCCUCUGACGUUAGCGGCGGACGGGUGAGUAACACGUGGAUAACCUACCUAUAAGACUGGGAUAACUUCGGGAAACCGGAGCUAAUACCGGAUAAUAUAUUGAACCGCAUGGUUCUAUAGUGAAAGACGGUUUUGCUGUCACUUAUAGAUGGAUCCGCGCCGCAUUAGCUAGUUGGUAAGGUAACGGCUUACCAAGGCAACGAUGCGUAGCCGACCUGAGAGGGUGAUCGGCCACACUGGAACUGAGACACGGUCCAGACUCCUACGGGAGGCAGCAGUGGGGAAUCUUCCGCAAUGGGCGAAAGCCUGACGGAGCAACGCCGCGUGAGUGAUGAAGGUCUUCGGAUCGUAAAACUCUGUUAUUAGGGAAGAACAAAUGUGUAAGUAACUAUGCACGUCUUGACGGUACCUAAUCAGAAAGCCACGGCUAACUACGUG
rnacentral:rRNA from 1 species